rnacentral:rRNA from 1 species
ACUCCUACGGGAGGCAGCAGUGGGGAAUAUUGCACAAUGGGGAAACCCUGAUGCAGCCAUGCCGCGUGUGUGAAGAAGGCCUUCGGUUGUAAAGCACUUUCAGUAGGGAGGAAGGUAGUGUAGUUAACACCUGCACUAUUUGACGUUACCUACAGAAGAAGCACCGGCUAACUCCGUGCCAGCAGCCGCGGUAAUACGGAGGGGUGCGAGCGUUAAUCGGAAUUACUGGGCGUAAAGCGCAUGCAGGCGGCCUGUUAAGUCAGAUGUGAAAGCCCGGGGGCUUAACCUCGGAAUUGCAUUUGAAACUGGCAGGCUAGAGUCUUGUAGAGGGGGUAGAAUUUCAGGUGUAGCGGUGAAAUGCGUAGAGAUCUGAAGGAAUACCAGUGGCGAAGGCGGCCCCCUGGACAAAGACUGACGCUCAGAUGCGAAAGCGUGGGGAGCAAACAGGAUUAGAUACCCUGGUAGACUGUCA